UACGGAGGGUGCAAGCGUUGCUCGGAAUUAUUGGGCGUAAAGGGUAGGUAGGUGGUCUCAUUUGUCUGGGGUGAAAGCCUUGAGCUUAACUCAAGGAGUGCCCCAGAAACGGUGAGACUGGAGUCCUGGAGAGGGUCGUGGAUUCCCGGUGUAGCGGUGAAAUGCGUAGAGAUCGGGAGGAACACCAGAGGCGAAGGCGGCGACCUGGACAGGCACUGACACUCAACUACGAAAGCGUGGGGAGCAAACAGG
rnacentral:rRNA from 1 species